UGAAGUGUCGAUAAGUGCUGAAUUUUCGAAUUGUGGAAGCAGAUGCUUCGACUAUUCAUGUCACCUCUGGAUUGUAUACAUUCCCUGUGACCGUAGCGUUGUGCUUUGC
rnacentral:tRNA from 1 species